rnacentral:rRNA from 1 species
CGUGAGGAAAGUUGCAAAGAACUUUGAAGAGAGAGUUCAAGAGGGCGUGAAACCGCUGAGAAGGAAACGGAUAGAGUUGACGAAACACAGCGGCAUUCAUCCGACCUGUCCUGGCAACUGGCUGCCCGGUAUAGAUCGUUCUCCUCGGGGAAUGACGGUCUGGCUGUCAGCUUAGUCGGCUGGUUGGUGCUUUUGCCGUUGGUAUGCGCGGAGACGUUCGCUGUGGCGUGUCGACGUCGAUGUCAGAGGACCAGUGCCAAAUGGUACUGGAAACCUGACUCGGCUUAGGUAUGUUCGCGGUGAAACGGUAACCACAUACGCCGCUUGCUAGUUGCGUAGCUGCCUCUGCAUAGUUGGGUGCGUUGUUGGGCGAUCGCGUGCGAUUUGUCUACAGCUGUAUUCCGGCUUGUUUCUGGCUAGUUACGUUGGCGGUGUAUCUCCGUGUAAAAGUCAGCCACCUAUCCGACCCGUCUUGAAACACGGACCAAGGAGUUUAGCAUAUGCGCAAGUCAUUGGGUGGUAAACCUAAAGGCGUAAUGAAAGUAAAGACUGCUUCGAGCGGUUGAUAUGGGAUCUGUGCUUGCUUGCAGGCGCAGCGCACCAUAGCCCCGUUCUUGUUGCUUGCAAUAGGGCGGAGGUAGAGCGUAUACGCUGAGACCCGAAAGAUGGUGAACUAUGCCUGAGCAGGAUGAAGCCAGAGGAAACUCUGGUGGAAGUCCGAAGCGGUUCUGACGUGCAAAUCGAUCGUCUGA